GCAAUUUUAGUUUAUUAUAGAAUAGUGAUUUGUCUAGUCAUAGGUGGAUUUGUUCCAUAUUGCU
rnacentral:tRNA from 1 species